rnacentral:tRNA from 1 species
CCGCGCGUAGAGGAUCCCACAAUCCACUGCCGUUAAUCCACUUGGCUACGUCCGCC